AGGAACUGCAGUGGCAGACAGCAACUUUUAUUUUCCCCAGCCACCAUAGCCCCACUCAAUAUGACAUUUAGACAGAUGAGCCAGCAAUACAGUAGUUACAUGUGUCUGGGAUUUGUUUUUUAAAUUAUAUGUACCGCUUUUAAUAGCCUGAUUACAGCUGUUCAGUAAGUGAUGCCUCUAGACUGAAGAGGACCGAAAUGAGAAGCAGGCCAGCUAAGAGGGCUGGGAGCAGCACGUUCCCCUUGUUAUUGCCAGCUAGUGGGGAGAGAACAUAUGGCCACUUUACAAAGUUAAGAAUCACAAACAGCAGACAAGAAUGAAUGAUUAAUGCUGGAGUUCCUGGAGUAUGGGCCAAAGAAGUUCCCCCAAACCUUACAAACAGAAACACAUGCCUCUGCCAGUCCCCACAUGGGAUCCCAGAUGAGAAACCUCUCAAGGAGAAUAACAAAAUGCAGUUGGAAUCAAAGUGUAUGAAGCCUCCCAGACACACCCAGCAGGAGUCACCAGGAAGCAGCUGGGAAGAGGCUGACAGCCCACCAGCAAUGAGACCACAGGAGCUGCUGCUCCCGGGAGGGAGUCUGCUGUCAUCCUCCACUUGCUAGAGUUCUCCCUCCUCUCUGCUUGUUACACACUGCUUCCCUGCUCUAGAGCUUGCUCCAGAGAUGACUUCAACAGAACAGAGUGGCUCUUCCUUACUUGAAACACAGAUCCAUUGUACCUGUGGCUUUGGCUCUGGAUUGUCUUUCUACUUAGAGGAGAACAAGGGUGUGACUGAGCCACAUGAUGGAAAGUAAAGGUACAACCAAAAAUUGUGGCGUUUCCUCUUGUUUAUGACAUUAAAUUUCCCUCAGCCUCUACCCUCAUGCUGCCUGCUUCUCUAAGGCUGCUCCCAGGGAACAAGUUAAUAAUCUCAAAUACAGUAAUUUUUGCCCCUUUCAGAGGUAAGAGUUUAACAGGGGACAAAGGACGAAUUUUCCAUCAUGGCAUUUCAAACAUCAGUAAAAUGUUGAUUAUUUUUCAGCACUCUUGAUAUUAUAUCUGAGUAGCUCUUGUAGAAAUUAAUGCAAGCUGUGUUUUCACUGCAAUGUGCCCUUACUGUAUUCACAUGCAGCGAGAGGUUAUGCUGAUGGAACUUGGCCAUGAUUUGUGAUAUUGUUUAUUUACAUGUAUUAAUAUAAAAUAAAAUGCAACGUGCUAAGUAACAUUUAAGCCCUCAUUAACCUGUUCCUGAACUAUUUUUCCAACUCCAUUGAU
rnacentral:lncRNA from 10 species